rnacentral:rRNA from 2 species
UGCGUAGAUAUAUGGAAGAACACCAGUGGCGAAGGCGGCUGUCUGGUCUGUAACUGACGCUGAGGCUCGAAAGUAUGGGUAGCAAACAGGAUUAGAUACCCUGGUAGUCCAUACCGUAAACGAUGAAUGCUAAGUGUUGGAGGGUUUCCGCCCUUCAGUGCUGCAGCUAACGCAUUAAGCAUUCCGCCUGGGGAGUACGGCCGCAAGGCUGAAACUCAAAGGAAUUGACGGGGGCCCGCACAAGCGGUGGAGCAUGUGGUUUAAUUCGAAGCUACGCGAAGAACCUUACCAGGUCUUGACAUACUAUGCAAAUCUAAGAGAUUAGACGUUCCCUUCGGGGACAUGGAUACAGGUGGUGCAUGGUUGUCGUCAGCUCGUGUCGUGAGAUGUUGGGUUAAGUCCCGCAACGAGCGCAACCCUUAUUAUCAGUUGCCAGCAUUAAGUUGGGCACUCUGGUGAGACUGCCGGUGACAAACCGGAGGAAGGUGGGGAUGACGUCAAAUCAUCAUGCCCCUUAUGACCUGGGCUACACACGUGCUACAAUGGAUGGUACAACGAGUUGCGAACUCGCGAGAGUAAGCUAAUCUCUUAAAGCCAUUCUCAGUUCGGAUUGUAGGCUGCAACUCGCCUACAUGAAGUC